rnacentral:rRNA from 1 species
UACGGAGGGUGCAAGCGUUAUCCGGAUUCACUGGGUUUAAAGGGUGCGUAGGCGGGCAGGUAAGUCAGUGGUGAAAUCUCCGAGCUUAACUCGGAAACUGCCGUUGAUACUAUUUGUCUUGAAUGUUGUGGAGGUAAGCGGAAUAUGUCAUGUAGCGGUGAAAUGCUUAGAUAUGACAUAGAACACCAAUUGCGAAGGCAGCUUACUACACAGUUAUUGACGCUGAGGCACGAAAGCGUGGGGAUCAAACAGG